AGUAAUCGAAGAGGUGCGACUGACAUCAGUAGCCAUCAUGAGCCGGCCAGGCUAUGACUGAUGGUAAAAGGGGAAGCCGCCGAAGCCCCGGGCAGGUACAAGCCCGGGAGCUGGUCUGCUGCUGAAUAAGUUUCAGACUGUCGCGAAAUCAGAUUCGCGGAGCGCUGUCGAAACUC
rnacentral:ncRNA from 2 species